rnacentral:piRNA from 1 species
GNGUUGUCCCAAGAAUCGCUAGAGGUGGC